GGAGAUGGUCUUAGUUGCGGACA
rnacentral:siRNA from 1 species